CAGUAGCCACGGUAAUACGGAGGGUGCAAGCGUUAAUCGGAAUUACUGGGCGUAAAGCGCACGCAGGCGGUUUGUUAAGUCAGAUGUGAAAUCCCCGAGCUUAACUUGGGAACUGCAUUUGAAACUGGCAAGCUAGAGUCUUGUAGAGGGGGGUAGAAUUCCAGGUGUAGCGGUGAAAUGCGUAGAGAUCUGGAGGAAUACCGGUGGCGAAGGCGGCCCCCUGGACAAAGACUGACCCUCAGGUGCGAAAGCGUGGGGAGCAAACAGGAUUAGAUACCCGCGUAGUCCCUGUCUCUUAUAC
rnacentral:rRNA from 1 species